ACUUUGACUUGGGGAAAAUUGAUUGUGAAAAUAUCCAGAAAUUCCUUUAAAAAUUGCGUUUUAAAUCGCGUAAAUAACUAUAAAGCUCUCGAAAUUCACCAAACACCAGCAGUAAUCAAAACAUCCCUAGAAAUUAAAAGAGAACAGCCGGAAUAUUUCAUCAAAGUUAGAACGUCAAAAGCCCCAAAAUCAUCACCAAGACCACCACCACCACAACCAGCGUCAAAAAUCAACAAUAGCAACAACAAUUGACAAACAGGAACGACGUGAAGUGAAUGCAUUCAGUGCGAUUGGACAACGAAAAGAGAUAAGCCGACAUUGAGCAAAAAAGAGUGCCGUCGUCAACUUACACAGGUCAUAUCAAACAUACAAAAUUUUCAUCAUCACGUCAAGCGUCAAUUUGUGUGCUUCAGACCAGUUUUCCGCAACGCGAAGCUAAGCAUAUCAUUUGAUUGCCAUUGGAUUUGUCCUGCCCGCCGUCGUCCUUUGUCUGAACUUUAAAGGAUACCUAUUCACUCAUACUGGUGGUACGAGCCCAACAGUGUCAACAUAACUAGAGAAACUGUUUUUCGUCGAGCGAAAUUCGUUCAUAACUGACUGGCUUUUACGGCAACAACAACAACAACAACAAGGAAAUCCAGCAAUUUGUGAAGAUUCGAGGAGUGUUUUUGGCAAUCGCCAGAGACUAAUCUCUAUUAUAAUAUAUACCUAAACAAUACCGCAAUAUUUUAUUAUAAGCAACAACAACGAAGCAUUGCACUGCACCAGUAGUAGCGGUGGUGAUCGAAUAAAGUACUCAGAGAAUAAAUUCCAGCGAAUGUGACAACAAUAAAAACAACAUCAGCAGCGGCAGCAAAAUCAGCGGUCGAAAUAAUUCGAAAAUAGUCAUAAUUGUGUAAAGAAAAAGAUACACAAGUGUGUAUUUAUGUACAACACAGCCAGACGCCCCGCACUACACUGCACAUCGCACAUUUUGGACCGUCGUUUAUUUGCUCGUUAGUACAUAAUUUACUCGUUGAGGUUUCCCGACGAACGUGUUUAUUAGCACAGCUGUAUCGCUGCAGAAGAAGAAGAAGCACUCGAUGAGUCUGCACAAGUAGCUGAAUUAUCAAAUGAUUCCGAUGCACCAUUGAAACCGAAC
rnacentral:misc_RNA from 1 species